UACGAAGGGUGCAAACGUUGCUCGGAAUUAUUGGGCGUAAAGCGCGCGUAGGCGGCUUGGCAAGUCAGAUGUGAAAGCCCCGGGCUCAACCUGGGAACUGCAUUUGAAACUGGCGGGCUUGAGUGUGGCAGAGGGGGGUGGAAUUCCGCGUGUAGCAGUGAAAUGCGUAGAGAUGCGGAGGAACACCGAUGGCGAAGGCAGCCCCCUGGGCCAACACUGACGCUCAGGCACGAAAGCGUGGGGAGCAAACAGG
rnacentral:rRNA from 1 species